CACCAGUCGCUUCCUUCACUCGCUCACUCACCUCUUCCCUCAUGUCACUCUCUCUACCCUUCUCUUUCUAAUCUUAAUUAAAAACCCAAUUUCUUUUUGGCCUUACCAAACUUGAAAUUAUCGCUGUCGACUUGCAUAAGGUUAAAGUUGUAUCUGUCUUCCUUCUUUUUAUUUUUAUCCACUGCUACUGGUCUUUUAAAAUGGUCUCUCCAGAGGUUUCAAAGUCUCAAUAUUCUCCAAUGGCUAAAAGGAAAUCUUGCUUCAGCGAUACCUUUCUUUAUCUCGGUGGCGCUUUACUUUCUUUUUUGAUCAUAUGGUCUCUCUGGUCUUACACCGCUCCUAACAUUAAUCUUUCCGAUUCUAGUUCCUCCAACCUUAGAAAACAAACCUGCGUUCAACAAAACCCAUCCCCUGAUCUCGGGUACGACCCGCCCGAUACAACAUUCUACGACGACCCAGACCUCAGCUAUUCCAUCGAAAAGCCUAUCAAAAACUGGGACGAGAAACGAAAACGAUGGCUAGAGAAACACCCAUCAUUCUCAGCACCUGCACGUGACCGAGUCGUGAUGGUGACGGGAUCCCAAACCAAACCGUGCAAGAACCCAAUAGGCGACCAUUUUCUUUUACGAUUCUUUAAGAACAAAGUCGAUUACUGUAGAAUCCACGGCUACGAUAUUUUCUACAACAACGUUUUACUCCAUCCCAAGAUGCCGAGUUUCUGGGCGAAAUAUCCGGUCGUCAAAGCAGCUAUGAUCGCGCAUCCCGAGGCCGAGUGGAUCUGGUGGGUUGACUCCGACGCUUUAAUCUCCGACAUGGAAUACAAGUUGCCGUUACGCCGUUACGACUACAAGAACCAUAAUCUCGUAGUUCACGGCUGGGCUAAGUUGAUUUACGGGGAGAGAAGCUGGACGGCGUUGAAUGCUGGCGUUUUUUUAAUUAGGAAUUGUCAGUGGUCCAUGGAUUUCAUGGACACGUGGGCUAAUAUGGGUCCCAUGAGUCCCGAUUUUCAGAAGUGGGGCCACAUCCAACGGUCUUUAUUUAAAGACAAGCUAUUCCCAGAUUCGGAUGAUCAGACGGCUCUGAUUUAUAUGCUGUACAAGGAUAAGAGUUUAACGGACAAGAUUUAUUUAGAAGGUGAGUAUUACUUUGAAGGAUAUUGGCUGGAAAUAGUGCCUACGUACGAUAACAUAACUGAAAAAUACACGGAGAUCGAGAGACAGGACGUGAAGUUACGGAGACGGCACGCAGAGAAAGUGAGCGAGCAAUACGGUGCGUUCAGAGAGCCACAUUUAAAGGCAGCUGGGAAUGGUAAAGGGAGCUGGAGACGGCCGUUUAUCACGCAUUUCACGGGCUGUCAACCCUGUAGUGGGGAACACAAUAAGAUGUAUGAAGGGGACGCGUGUUGGGAUGGGAUGGUUAGAGCUCUGAACUUUGCUGAUAAUCAAGUGCUCAGAAAAUAUGGUUUUGUGCAUCCGGAUUUACUGAAUUCUAACACGGUUGUGGAGACACCGUUUGAUUAUCCUGAUGAGGGUCCAUGGUAAACUUUUUACACAGACGGUGAAUGACGAGUAGGUGUGUUGUUUAUUAACUUAUAAAUCAGCUAUGAAGAGCUUCUUUUUAUCUUGCGUGUCGAUUUCUGCAUGGUGGUGAUUCAUGUUAUUGAUUUGCUCCUAUUUUAAGUGAGUGGAUAUAUAUGUUAAAAUUAGGCUGUAUAUAAUAUGCUUAAUCAUGUUAUUAAUUUUUGGCAGAGAGAUUUAAAGUUUUUAUUUGAGUACAUAUUAUUGAAUGAUUUAUAAUUGAGUAGAUGAAUAAAUGAUAUAUAUAUACAUAUAUAAAAGUUUAUAAUUAUUUUAUGUGUGUUAAUUCAGCAGGAUCACUUGGGAAAAAAUCUAAUGGAAAUCAUUAUUUAAUGAACAAGUUGGUUUAUUAAACAUGGGAAUCUCGAGGAGUCUUUUAAGUAUUCGAUGGGGGCUUCAACAAGGGCAUGAUUGAAGGAUAAUGCUCCACAUCUAAGGACUUUAUAUGAUGGAAAGAUGAUGAUGUUGAGAGUUUGUACAUUCAUACGAAGAAGUCACUUGACUAAAUUAUGGCGCUUUUUGCGUUCCUGAUUUGAUAGGGGCCUGUGUAUUUCACACAUAGAAAAUGGCUAAAAUACAUUUCUACUUACUUUUGUUUUUAUUUGGAAACUCUGAGUUUCUCAAUCCCAUCACCAACAUAGCUUGUGUCUGCGUUUAAACUCUCUCAAAGUGAAGGCUUGCCUCACAACAAAGAAAAGUCUAAGAUCAACAAAGAAAGUCGGCAUGGUCUAAGAGUAUUGAACUCAUCACCACCAGGAAAAUAAAACCCGAAUCCUUCAUACUUGAAUUUGGAUUUGGGGUACUUCUCUAAUCCAGGGAUAAUGACCAACUAUGUAAGAUCAGCUUUCAGAUGUGGAUUACAGAGAAAUUAAGGGGUAGAAUAGACCUCCUCCGUCGGUCCGGCCACAUCUGAAUGAAAGAUUAGAGAAGCAUUACAACAAAAUUAACAGUGGAAACAUCUCAAGAGACCAUCUCUGUAAAUAAGCCCACCCCAUGUUGGAGGAAAAACUUUGAUUUAUUUAUUUAACUUUUAAUAUCCAAAUCAACAAUUUUAUAAUCACUAACUAGUGUUCCAGUUCUUUAAUAUAUUCAUCAAUUACAGAGA